rnacentral:misc_RNA from 1 species
GCUGCUCAGCAAUUCAAGAUGCCAGACAUGGGGCAUGUGAUGGGAAAACCAGACAUUUCUGGUACUGUUGAAGCCGGAGCAUUGGGUGAUGAGGAAGAGGAAGAAGAGAUCGAUGAAUCUGGGGUGGAGGCUAGGGACAUUGAUUUGGUAAUGACACAGGCUGGGGUCUCCAGGACCAAGGCCGUAAAAGCUCUCAAGACUCACGACGGGGAUAUUGUAAGUGCCAUUAUGGAGCUCACAACUUGA